ACCGCGAUGGUGAAACUGGUAGACACGAAGGACUUAAAAUCCUUUGACCAGAAAUGGUUAUACGGGUUCGACUCCCGUUCGCGGUA
rnacentral:tRNA from 1 species